GGAAAGUUGGCCGAGCGGUUUAAGGCAACGGUCUUGAAAAUCGUCGGGUGUAAUGCCCCCUGAGUUCGAAUCUCAGACUUUCCGCCA
rnacentral:tRNA from 4 species